UAGUUUGAUUCUGGCUCAGAAUGAACGCUGGCGGCAGGCCUAACACAUGCAAGUCGAACGAAGCCUUCGGGUUUAGUGGCGGACGGGUGAGUAACGCGUGGGAACGUGCCCUUUGGUUCGGAAUAGCCCUGGGAAACUGGGAGUAAUACCGAAUGUGCCCUUCGGGGGAAAGAUUUAUCGCCAAAGGAUCGGCCCGCGUUGGAUUAGGUAGUUGGUGGGGUAAUGGCCCGCCAAGCCGACGAUCCAUAGCUGGUUUGAGAGGAUGAUCAGCCACACUGGGACUGAGACACGGCCCAGACUCCUACGGGAGGCAGCAGUGGGGAAUCUUAGACAAUGGGGGAAACCCUGAUCUAGCCAUGCCGCGUGAUCGAUGAAGGCCUUAGGGUUGUAAAGAUCUUUCAGAUGGGAAGAUAAUGACGGUACCAUCAGAAGAAGCCCCGGCUAACUCCGUGCCAGCAGCCGCGGUAAUACGGAGGGGGCUAGCGUUAUUCGGAAUUACUGGGCGUAAAGCGCACGUAGGCGGACUGGAAAGUCAGAGGUGAAAUCCCAGGGCUCAACCUUGGAA
rnacentral:rRNA from 1 species